rnacentral:rRNA from 1 species
UCUGCCCAGUAGUGGGGGAUAGCUCGGGGAAACUCGAAUUAAUACCGCAUACACCCUACGGGGAAAAGGGGGCGCUUGCGCUCUCGCUAUUGGAUGAGCCUAAGUCGGAUUAGCUAGUUGGUGGGGUAAAGGCCUACCAAGGCGACGAUCUGUAGCUGGUCUGAGAGGAUGAUCAGCCACACCGGGACUGAGACACGGCCCGGACUCCUACGGGAGGCAGCAGUGGGGAAUAUUGGACAAUGGGGGCAACCCUGAUCCAGCCAUGCCGCGUGUGUGAAGAAGGCCUUUUGGUUGUAAAGCACCUUAAGCAGUGAAGAAGACCUAACGGUUAAUACCCGUUAGCGAUGACAUUAGCUGCAGAAUAAGCACCGGCUAACUCUGUGCCAGCAGCCGCGGUAAUACAGAGGGUGCAAGCGUUAAUCGGAAUUACUGGGCGUAAAGCGAGCGUAGGUGGCUUGAUAAGUCAGAUGUGAAAUCCCCGGGCUUAACCUGGGAACUGCAUCUGAUACUGUUGGGCUAAAGUAAGUGAGAGGGAGGUAGAAUUUCAGGUGUAUCGGUGAAAUGCGUAGAGAUCUGAAGGAAUACCGAUGGCGAAGGCAGCCUCCUG